AGCUAUCUUCAUUGUUUGAGUAAACUGGAAAUCUUGAGCUGCUCCACACAAGGUGGAAGUGAUGAGUAUCUGAAAAGGAUUACCUUCCCACAUUCUCACAAGAAGUUGACUCUCAAUGCCUCGUUUGAAUUUGAUCUUGAGUUAGAAGACAUAUUGCAAAAGACUGGUUCGUUACCCCUUCUUGAGAAGCUCGUAUUGCAAUGUGGUUUCUUCAGAACACGCACGUGGGAAACAAUCGAAGGUCAUUUCCCUAGGCUCAAGUCACUCGAUGUGGUGGUGUCGCGAUCUAGAAUACUGGAGCAUGUUAGAGAGCUCCCACUUUCCACAUCUUGAGAAGCUUUUUCUUGUUAGAUUAUCAGUACUCAAGGAGAUUCCUUCAGAAAUAGGAGAGUUAGCAACACUCAAAUCAAUUGAGUUGAGAGAAUGCCCUGAAUCAGUAUUGGUGUCAGCUAAAAAGAUAGCAGAGGAACAAGAGGAUUUAUAUGGAGACCAAGUAGAACUUCGUGUUCGAGCUGUCGUUGGGAAGAAAGAUGAAGCACUGCCGAGGUUGGCGAGUGCCAACUUUGAAGUUGAAGUGAGAGAUUAUUAGAAAUUCUUCCACAAGUCUUUGUAUUGUUCAUUUUGUUUUACUAAAAUAACUGCUUUAAUUUCUCUUCCUUUUGGAACAUUUAUUUAUGUGCUUAAACUUUCUUACGUUAGAUCAUCAGUUGCUGUUCAUUUCUGCCAUCUGAAUUCAUAACUGGAAUUAAUAACCCUUAUCGAAACACACACACCAAC
rnacentral:lncRNA from 1 species